rnacentral:rRNA from 1 species
GACGUAGGGCGCGAGCGUUGUCCGGAUUUAUUGGGCGUAAAGAGCUCGUAGGCGGCUUGUCGCGUCGACUGUGAAAACCCGAGGCUCAACUUCGGGCUUGCAGUCGAUACGGGCAGGCUAGAGUUCGGUAGGGGAGACUGGAAUUCUUGGUGUAGCGGUGAAAUGCGUAGAUAUCAAGAGGAACACCUGCGGCGAAGGCGGGUUGCUGGGCCGACACUGACGCUGAUGCGCGAAAGCCAGGGGAGCGAACGGG